rnacentral:misc_RNA from 1 species
GAUGAAGAACGUAGCGAAAUGCGAUAAGUAAUGUGAAUUGCAGAAUUCAGUGAAUCAUCGAAUCUUUGAACGCACCUUGCGCUCCUUGGUAUUCCGAGGAGCAUGCCUGUUUGAGUGUCAUUAAUAUAUCAACCUCUUCAGCUUAUGCUUGUUGAGUGUUGGAUGGUGGGGGUUUGCUGGUGUCUUAUGAAGUCAGCUCCUCUGAAAUGCAUUAGCGGUACAAUUUGUUGACCGUUCAUUGGUGUGAUAAAAAUAUCUACGCUAUUGACGUCAGUCAGUUCAGCUUCUAACAGUCCAUUGACUUGGACAAAUUUUUCAUUAAUGUGACCUCAAAUCAGGUAGGACUACCCGCUGAACUUAAGCAUAUCAAUAAGCGGAGGA